GUUAUCUCAAAACUUAGGGAUAUCCGACCUAUGUCAAAAGACAGAUGAUGGAUAAACUAGAAGAUAGAUCUAUUAUAGCUCAUUUUAUAGGGUAUCCAAAAGAAUCCAUAAGAUACUAUUUCUACUUUUCACAAGAUCACAAUGUGAUUGUGAAUCGGAAUGCGAUAUUCUUAGAAAAAUAAUUUAUCCAGGAUGGUGG
rnacentral:lncRNA from 1 species